AAAAUGCGAUAAUUAAUGUGAAUUGCAGAAUUCAGUGAAUCAUCGAGUCUUUGAACGCACAUUGCGCCCCCUGGUAUUCCGGGGGGCAUGCCUGUCCGAGCGUCAUUGCUGCCCUCAAGCACGGCUUGUGUGUUGGGCUUCCGUCCCUGGCAACGGGGACGGGCCCAAAAGGCAGUGGCGGCACCAUGUCUGGUCCUCGAGCGUAUGGGGCUUUGUCACCCGCUCCCGUAGGUCCAGCUGGCAGCUAGCCUCGCAACCAAUCUUUUUAACCAGGUUGACCUCGGAUCAGGUAGGGAUACCCGCUGAACUUAAGC
rnacentral:misc_RNA from 1 species